GAGGAGGGGGCGCAGGGGCCGUGGGCGGCUUCCCGGGAGCCCAAAGGAACGAAGCAUUCGCAGACCCUAAAAUUUAUCCGAGGCCAGUGGCCUUGGGAGGGCGAAUGAGGAUGCUUCUGGGCUGGAGCGACAUUUCGAGUUGUUCAGAAAUUGCUAAGAAAGCAAAGAGAAGACCGAAGGUUCACUGGCACGCUAUAUGCUAAAGCUGGAAGAGAACCUGACUCCUCAUCCUGUGUUGUCAUUUGGCUUGCUGACAGGUUUUGAAACGUUCAUCGGUCUCAAAGGGCUGUGAAAUACAGCUCGUUUCGGAAUGUCUCAAAACGAAAAACAGAAGAGGGCUCUGAAAAGGGAGCUCAGAAGGAACGCGGAAGAGCAAAAAGUUCUGAUGACAUAUGAGGCCUUCUGCUCAUCUCCUCACCCCUCCCUUGGGACAGCUGCAGACUGUAAAACUAUUUAGCUGCAGUCUAGAAUUGGCUCCUCGAUAACACGGUUUCUCACAACUUGCAUGACAAUCGCUGAUCCCUUUUGUUUCAGUGUUAUCCAUUUGGAUGUGUGAGAUGCGGACCCAGGAGGUCCGUACCUUCAACUACCCUUCCUUUUGCUGUCUAUGUAAGUAAUAAACUGCCUGAAUCUAAAAGUGACUUGUUAAGGAAUUCUCUUGUGGUGCAGUGGGUUAAGGAUGUGGUGUUGUCACUGCAGCAGCUUAGGUCACUG